rnacentral:rRNA from 1 species
UGGCCUUCGGGCCGCGAGUAGAGCGGCGAACGGGUGAGUAACACGUGGAUAACCUGCCUGGGAGUGGGGGAUAACUCGGGGAAACCUGAGCUAAUACCGCAUUCGCCCGCAUCGCUACGGCGAUGUGGGGAAAGGUGGCCUCUGCUUGCAAGCUACCGCUCCCAGAGGGGUCCGCGGCUGAUUAGCUAGUUGGUGGGGUAACGGCCUACCAAGGCGACGAUCAGUAGCCGGCCUGAGAGGGUGAUCGGCCACACUGGAACUGAGACACGGUCCAGACUCCUACGGGAGGCAGCAGUGGGGAAUAUUGGACAAUGGGCGAAAGCCUGAUCCAGCAACGCCGCGUGGAGGAUGAAGGCCUUCGGGUUGUAAACUCCUGUCAGGUGGGACGAAGGGCCCCGGUUAAUACCCGGGCGUUCCUGACGGUACCACCAGAGGAAGCCCCGGCUAACUCCGUGCCAGCAGCCGCGGUAAUACGGAGGGGGCGAGCGUUAUUCGGAAUCAUUG